UACGUAGGGUGCAAGCGUUGUCCGGAAUUAUUGGGCGUAAAGAGCUUGUAGGCGGUUUGUCGCGUCUGCUGUGAAAUUUCGGGGCUCAACCCCGAACUUGCAGUGGGUACGGGCAGACUAGAGUGUGGUAGGGGAGACUGGAAUUCCUGGUGUAGCGGUGAAAUGCGCAGAUAUCAGGAGGAACACCGAUGGCGAAGGCAGGUCUCUGGGCCUGUACUGACGCUGAGGAACGAAAAGCGUGGGGAGCGAACAGG
rnacentral:rRNA from 1 species